ensembl:lncRNA
GAUAGAAUGGUUUUUUUUUUUUCUCCCCUCUUGCUAAUUUUGACCUGUUGGUCCAAUUUUGGCUAAUUUCUGAUUUACAUAAAGCAGCUCCCCUCUGGCAUAGUUAUUUUGUUGGCCCAUUGGCCCUUGUCUGCUUGUGGCCCGUUGGCCCUUGUCUGUUUGUGGCCCGUUGCCCAUUGACCGUGAUUUUCAAAUGGCAACUGUUAUUAAUAAAGAAACUUAUCAUAUUUUGUUUUUUAGUGAAGUGGCUUUGGGCUGCAAAAGACACCAGGCGUGUGGAGGCAGUCGUUGGGCCAUACAAAUUGUAUGACUCUUCUUUUCGCACACUGGAGGACAGUGGGUGGCUUUCUGAUGAGGUCAUUGAUGCAUACCUGCACUGCCUCAUUAGGAAACAAAAGGAACCCGUGUAUCAGUUGUCUUGCGUUGUUGCAACCUCUCUGUUUUCUGGGAAGUUUAAAUGUGUCAGCAAGGUCGUCAAAAUCUCCUCACGAUCUGUACUGCUGUUAGACCCUCUUGGAAAUGAAGGUUGUUAUGAAAGGAAAAUUAUGCGUAACUGGAGGAAUUUUCUGAAGAUGAAAGGAAAGGAAGAGUCCCGAGUGGAUUGGAAAAUGGAGACUGCCACACAGCAAGCAAAUGGACUCCAGCAGUUGUGGAGUUUUAGUGUUGAAGUUUGCCGAACACUACCUUAUGAGUGGAGAGGUUACUAGGGUGCUGUCCACUCCAGAAGCCAUUGGGCUGCAACGCACAGAAAUUGCUUGCGAACUGGUAGAACAUCAAAGUAAUGCUGAUGACUACUGUGUGGUUUGUUCCAUGCUGGAAGCCGAUCCUGAGUCCAGUAUGAUUGAAAUGGUGCAGUGUGAGUUUUGUCUCAGAUGGGCACAUUUUGGAUGUGCUCAAUAUGAGAGCAGCCUGGUCAAGUACUUGUGCGACAAAUGUGCAUAAUUUGUUAUGAAUACUGUUUCUUUUCCACUUCCUUCGCCCUGUGUUCUGUUGGAUCUGUAAAUAUCAAAUAUAUAUAUCUGUAAAUAUAUUCAGUAAAU